rnacentral:hammerhead_ribozyme from 1 species
GCACUACUGAAGAGUUCCACAAUAGGACGAAACGGCCGUCCAGUGC